CCUACGGGAGGCAGCAGUGGGGAAUUUUGGACAAUGGGGGCAACCCUGAUCCAGCCAUGCCGCGUGAGUGAAGAAGGCCUUCGGGUUGUAAAGCUCUUUCGGCCGGGAAGAAAUCGCGCCAGUUAAUACCUGGUGUGGAUGACGGUACCGGAAUAAGAAGCACCGGCUAACUACGUGCCAGCAGCCGCGGUAAUACGUAGGGUGCGAGCGUUAAUCGGAAUUACUGGGCGUAAAGCGUGCGCAGGCGGUUUUGUAAGACAGGCGUGAAAUCCCCGGGCUCAACCUGGGAACUGCGCUUGUGACUGCAUCACUCGAGUACGGCAGAGGGGGGUGGAAUUCCACGUGUAGCAGUGAAAUGCGUAGAGAUGUGGAGGAACACCGAUGGCGAAGGCAGCCCCCUGGGCCGAUACUGACGCUCAUGCACGAAAGCGUGGGUAGCAAACAGGAUUAGAUACCCUGGUAGUCCACGCCCUAAACGAUGUCAACUAGGUGUUGGGUGGGUAAAACCAUUUAGUACCGUAGCUAACGCGUGAAGUUGACCGCCUGGGGAGUACGGCCGCAAGGUUAAAACUCAAAUGAAUUGACGG
rnacentral:rRNA from 1 species